CCCACCUCUGAUUUUUAAUCAGUUCAUGUUUUUUGUUCCUAAACACUUAAUUGUUCAAAGAGAUAGAGAGGAAAAAAUGAUCAGUUUAUAUGCUCAAUCUCAUUUAUCCACUGCUACCCUAAUCCUUUUCACUUGCAUAUGGAUUCCAUUCCAUCAAAUAAAGCAGGCAAUCCUUAUCAUUUUUGGCUUACUCUUCUACACAUUUUAUCGAGGGGAUAAUGUUCAUCGUCGUCAAGAGCCAAUACUAGUAGUACUAGAUCUUCCCGUGUGCCAAUUUCAAGAUUUGGAUUCGAGCAAAAAUGGAGAGGAUGAAAUUUGUUCUAUAUGUCUGAUGGAGUUUGAGAAUGAAGAUUUAGUAAAUAAACUUCCAAAUUGCAAGCACAUAUUUCACAUCUACUGCAUAGAGAAAUGGUUGGACAGGAAUCAAUUUACUUGCCCUAUAUGCAGGUCUCUACUGCUGCAUGUCAAUGCUUCACCAUGCAACUUGGAGCCAUCUUCUGCAUAUUAU
rnacentral:lncRNA from 1 species